rnacentral:rRNA from 1 species
AUGGCCGCCAACGCCAACUGCAUGUCCACGAACCGACAUGCUGAUGACCAGCCUUCGCUACCACCAGCAAUCUCGCUAGCAUCCUCCACACACCACCCUAACCGCGGACUCAGCUCCGAGGAGGAGAACCUCGCCUUCUCUCUGAUGAUGCUGGCUAGUGGCAUCCGUGACGAGCAUCCUGCAUCCCUCGACCAUGUUACAACGCCGUCAUCGCCUCUGCCACCACACGUGACAGAUGUUCCAGCGGGUGUAUCCCAGGGUGCACCGGCGACCGAGGCGACCAGCCAAACACCCGCUUCGGUGGUUGUGGUCGCUUCAAGGCAAGUUCCCACACAAGUGCCUUCACCGUCAUCGGCAGUCGCUGUCAGGCCAAAUAUGGUGCUGGAGCAGGUGGUUCCACCGAGCCAAGCGACAGGCCUGGUGACCGUGACUCAACCAGCCCCUGGUCUGGCAUUGGCAUCAACCCAAGUGCAUCCGAUUGUCGCGACGGGCAAAGCACCAUUCAGCAAGCCCAACAAAGUAUCCACACGGCCGAUCAAGACCGUGGCCACGAUGGCGGAGAAUCAGACACCACAACAGGAGAGCCAACAGCUGUUGCACGAGUGCCCGUUGUGUCUCAAGAGGUUCAAGAAGUCUCGGGGCCUUAAUGUGCACAUGAAAACCCAUCCAGAUGGGAGGAUGCACCCGUGUGUGUGGUGCACGAGCACUUUCCCAACCUCCUCCGCGCUUCGCUCACACGUCAGGCGCAGCAAUACCUGCGGUGGAAACAGGCCGAGAAGGCUUGCACCCAUAGCCGCGGCGGCGAUCGCAUGGCACACCAUCGACCUGAACAUGCCGGAGAUUUGA